rnacentral:rRNA from 1 species
GAUGAACGCUGGCGGCGUGCCUAAUACAUGCAAGUCGAGCGAACAGACGAGGAGCUUGCUCCUCUGACGUUAGCGGCGGACGGGUGAGUAACACGUUGAUAACCUACCUAUAAGACUGGGAUAACUUCGGGAAACCGGAGCUAAUACCGGAUAAUAUAUUGAACCGCAUGGUUCAAUAGUGAAAGACGGUUUUGCUGUCACUUAUAGAUGGAUCCGCGCCGCAUUAGCUAGUUGGUAAGGUAACGGCUUACCAAGGCAACGAUGCGUAGCCGACCUGAGAGGGUGAUCGGCCACACUGGAACUGAGACACGGUACAGACUCCUACGGGAGGCAGCAGUAGGGAAUCUUCCGCAAUGGGCGAAAGCCUGACGGAGCAACGCCGCGUGAGUGAUGAAGGUCUUCGGAUCGUAAAACUCUGUUAUUAGGGAAGAACAAAUGUGUAAGUAACUAUGCACGUCUUGACGGUACCGAAUCAGAAAGCCACGGCUAACUACGU